GGGGACCCGCAAGCGGUGGAGCAUGUGGUUUAAUUCGAAGCAACGCGAAGAACCUUACCAAAUCUUGACAUCCUCUGACAACUCUGGAGACAGAGCGUUCCCCUUCGGGGGACAGAGUGACAGGUGGUGCAUGGUUGUCGUCAGCUCGUGUCGUGAGAUGUUGGGUUAAGUCCCGCAACGAGCGCAACCCUUAUCUUUAGUUGCCAUCAUUCAGUUGGGCACUCUAGAGAGACUGCCGGUGACAAACCGGAGGAAGGUGGGGAUGACGUCAAAUCAUCAUGCCCCUUAUGAUUUGGGCUACACACGUGCUACAAUGGAUGGUACAAAGGGCAGCAAAACCGCGAGGUCAAGCCAAUCCCAUAAAACCAUUCUCAGUUCGGAUUGUAGUCUGCAACUCGACUACAUGAAGCUGGAAUCGCUAGUAAUCGUAGAUCAGCAUGCUACGGUGAAUACGUUCCCGGGUCUUGUACACACC
rnacentral:rRNA from 1 species